GAUCAUGGCUCAGAGUGAACGCUGGCGGUAGGCCUAACACAUGCAAGUCGAACGGCAGCACAGGAGAGCUUGCUCUCUGGGUGGCGAGUGGCGGACGGGUGAGGAAUACAUCGGAAUCUACUUUUUCGUGGGGGAUAACGUAGGGAAACUUACGCUAAUACCGCAUACGACCUACGGGUGAAAGCAGGGGAUCUUCGGACCUUGCGCGAUUGAAUGAGCCGAUGUCGGAUUAGCUAGUUGGCGGGG
rnacentral:rRNA from 1 species